UUAUAUGUUGUUUGCCCCUCGCAGGACGAACGCUGGCGGCGUGCCUAAUACAUGCAAGUCGAGCGGACAGAAGGGAGCUUGCUCCCGGAUGUUAGCGGCGGACGGGUGAGUAACACGUGGGUAACCUGCCUGUAAGACUGGGAUAACUCCGGGAAACCGGAGCUAAUACCGGAUAGUUCCUUGAACCGCAUGGUUCAAGGAUGAAAGACGGUUUCGGCUGUCACUUACAGAUGGACCCGCGGCGCAUUAGCUAGUUGGUGGGGUAAUGGCUCACCAAGGCGACGAUGCGUAGCCGACCUGAGAGGGUGAUCGGCCACACUGGGACUGAGACACGGCCCAGACUCCUACGGGAGGCAGCAGUAGGGAAUCUUCCGCAAUGGACGAAAGUCUGACGGAGCAACGCCGCGUGAGUGAUGAAGGUUUUCGGAUCGUAAAGCUCUGUUGUUAGGGAAGAACAAGUGCGAGAGUAACUGCUCGCACCUUGACGGUACCUAACCAGAAAGCCACGGCUAACUACGUGCCAGCAGCCGCGGUAAUACGUAGGUGGCAAGCGUUGUCCGGAAUUAUUGGGCGUAAAGGGCUCGCAGGCGGUUUCUUAAGUCUGAUGUGAAAGCCCCCGGCUCAACCGGGGAGGGUCAUUGGAAACUGGGAAACUUGAGUGCAGAAGAGGAGAGUGGAAUUCCACGUGUAGCGGUGAAAUGCGUAGAGAUGUGGAGGAACACCAGUGGCGAAGGCGACUCUCUGGUCUGUAACUGACGCUGAGGAGCGAAAGCGUGGGGAGCGAACAGGAUUAGAUACCCUGGUAGUCCACGCCGUAAACGAUGAGUGCUAAGUGUUAGGGGGUUUCCGCCCCUUAGUGCUGCAGCUAACGCAUUAAGCACUCCGCCUGGGGAGUACGGUCGCAAGACUGAAACUCAAAGGAAUUGACGGGGGCCCGCACAAGCGGUGGAGCAUGUGGUUUAAUUCGAAGCAACGCGAAGAACCUUACCAGGUCUUGACAUCCUCUGACAACCCUAGAGAUAGGGCUUUCCCUUCGGGGACAGAGUGACAGGUGGUGCAUGGUUGUCGUCAGCUCGUGUCGUGAGAUGUUGGGUUAAGUCCCGCAACGAGCGCAACCCUUGAUCUUAGUUGCCAGCAUUCAGUUGGGCACUCUAAGGUGACUGCCGGUGACAAACCGGAGGAAGGUGGGGAUGACGUCAAAUCAUCAUGCCCCUUAUGACCUGGGCUACACACGUGCUACAAUGGACAGAACAAAGGGCUGCAAGACCGCAAGGUUUAGCCAAUCCCAUAAAUCUGUUCUCAGUUCGGAUCGCAGUCUGCAACUCGACUGCGUGAAGCUGGAAUCGCUAGUAAUCGCGGAUCAGCAUGCCGCGGUGAAUACGUUCCCGGGCCUUGUACACACCGCCCGUCACACCACGAGAGUUUGCAACACCCGAAGUCGGUGAGGUAACCUUUAUGGAGCCAGCCGCCGAAGGUGGGGCAGAUGAUUGGGGUGAAGUCGACGGGGGACCCCCCCAAAAAAAA
rnacentral:rRNA from 1 species